rnacentral:tRNA from 1 species
GCCUGGGUGGCUCAGUCGGUUAAGCGUCUGACUUUGGCUCAGGUCAUGAUCUCGCGGUCCGUGAGUUCGAGCCCCGCGUCGGGCU